rnacentral:tmRNA from 1 species
GGGGGCGUACCGGUUUCGACGGGGACGACGAGAUAUGCAUAGCGGGCAGAGGCGUACGACCUCUUUCAAAACGUACACUUAUAAAUCAAACAACAACUAUUCAGAACCUCUCGCUGCGUAACUAACGCAGCCGUCCGGCCGGGAAGGGCGACGAGCCCGGUUUUGCAGGCAGUCUGACGGACCUAUUUACUCCGUCAGCCCUCAGGGCGUGACCUAAGCCGCGAACGUGAACGCGCAAAGCUUUGAGCGCGUCAUGCAUCAUGAAGCUACCCGAUCACAGAGCCUGACGACCGGCGCUGUCGUGAAGGGAAUUUCAAUUGAUCGUCUGCGCCCGGAGAAGUGCCUAUGGAAUUGUUUUCGGACGGGAGUUCAACUCUCCCCGCCUCCACCA